rnacentral:lncRNA from 1 species
CGGCCGCGGCCCCCGCCCCUCGGGCUCCUUGCGGGGGUCGGAAAGCCCCUAAUUGGGCGGCCCGGACGGUUUUCGCGGAGCCUCGACGGGCCGCGGCGGAAGUCGCCCUCAGUCGGCCGUGAGAACCCAGAGUCGCGGCCGGUGCUGUCACCGACUAGCGCGGAGCACACGCCUGUGGCUCAGGCCUGGGCACUGCAGACAAACAAAAGAGAAGCAGCUCUCAGGACAUGGGUGAAACAGCAUUCUAGAAAAGAGCACAGCUCUUACAGUCCCUCUUAACCUCAAAAAAAAAAAAAAAAAACAAAGAGUGUUCCUAGAGGCCAGAAAGCAUGUUCUGGGAGAUGAUGGGCGUCCCACCCAGCUGCCUGAGGACCAAACUGGGAUUUUAAUACAGCUGAAGGUAAGGGACACCUACGCCUUUAUCGCCAGUUGCUUCUAGCGGGUCUCCGAGGGGCUAUACGACGCCCUACUAAUUUGGCUCAGGUAAAACAGGUAUUACAGGAAGCAGGGGAAACUCCCUCCGCCUUUCUAGAGAGACUUAAGGAGGCCUACCGUAUGUACACUCCCUAUGACCCAGAUGACCCAGGACAAAUGACGAGUGUCUCUAUGUCCUUCAUCUGGCAGGCUGCUCCAGAUAUCAGGACUAAGUUACAGAGGUUAGAAAAUUUGCAGGACUAUACAUUACAGGAUUUACUUAAAGAAGCUGAAAAGAUUUUUA